rnacentral:siRNA from 1 species
AGAUUAUGCGCUUACAGGGAUUCU